rnacentral:rRNA from 1 species
UACAGAGGUCUCAAGCGUUGUUCGGAUUCAUUGGGCGUAAAGGGUGCGUAGGUGGCGUCGUAAGUGGGGUGUGAAAUCCCCGGGGCUUAACCCCGGGACUGCAUUCCAUACUGCGGUGCUUGAGGACUGGAGAGGAGACUGGAAUUUACGGUGUAGCAGUGAAAUGCGUAGAGAUCGUAAGGAAGACCAGUGGCGAAGGCGGGUCUCUGGACAGUUCCUGACACUGAGGCACGAAGGCCAGGGGAGCAAACGGG